GACGUAGGGCGCGAGCGUUGUCCGGAUUUAUUGGGCGUAAAGAGCUCGUAGGCGGCUUGUCGCGUCGACUGUGAAAACCCGCGGCUCAACUGCGGGCCUGCAGUCGAUACGGGCAGGCUAGAGUUCGGUAGGGGAGAGUGGAAUUCCUGGUGUAGCGGUGAAAUGCGCAGAUAUCAGGAAGAACACCAAUGGCGAAAGCAGCUCUCUGGGACGGUACUGACGCUGAGACGCGAAAGCGUGGGGAGCGAACAGG
rnacentral:rRNA from 1 species